AUUAAAAACCAACGCCCUUCGGGGCUCACUGGUGAUUCAUGAUAACUCCUCGAAUCGCAUGGCCUUGUGCCGGCGAUGGUUCAUUCAAAUUUCUUCCCUAUCAACUUUCGAUGUUUGGGUAUUGGCCAAACAUGGUUGCAACGGGUAACGGAGGGUUAGGGCUCGACCCCGGAGAAGGAGCCUGAGAAACGGCUACUACAUCCAAGGAAGGCAGCAGGCGCGCAAAUUACCCAAUCCCGACACGGGGAGGUAGUGACAAUAAAUACUGAUACAGGGCUCUUUUGGGUCUUGUAAUUGGAAUGAGUACAAUUUAAAUCCCUUAACGAGGAACAAUUGGAGGGCAAGUCUGGUGCCAGCAGCCGCGGUAAUUCCAGCUCCAAUAGCGUAUAUUAAAGUUGUUGUGGUUAAAAAGCUCGUAGUUGAACCUUGGGCCUGGCUGGCCGGUCCGCCUCACCGCGUGUACUGGUCCGGCCGGGCCUUUCCCUCUGUGGAACCCCAUGCCCUUCACUGGGUGUGGC
rnacentral:rRNA from 1 species